UACGUAGGGUGCAAGCGUUGUCCGGAAUUAUUGGGCGUAAAGAGCUCGUAGGCGGUCUGUCGCGUCGGCUGUGAAAACCUGGGGCUCAACUCCAGGCCUGCAGUCGAUACGGGCAGACUAGAGUUCGGUAGGGGAGACUGGAAUUCCUGGUGUAGCGGUGAAAUGCGCAGAUAUCAGGAGGAACACCAAUAGCGAAGGCAGCUCGCUGGGACGGUACUGACACUAAGGCGCGAAAGCGUGGGGAGCGAACAGG
rnacentral:rRNA from 1 species